rnacentral:rRNA from 1 species
AAUAGAUACCCUGGUAGUCCACGCCGUAAACGAUGAGUGCUAAGUGUUAGAGGGUUUCCGCCCUUUAGUGCUGCAGCUAACGCAUUAAGCACUCCGCCUGGGGAGUACGGCCGCAAGGCUGAAACUCAAAGGAAUUGACGGGGGCCCGCACAAGCGGUGGAGCAUGUGGUUUAAUUCGAAGCAACGCGAAGAACCUUACCAGGUCUUGACAUCCUCUGCCAACCCUAGAGAUAGGGCGUUCCCCUUCGGGGGACAGAGUGACAGGUGGUGCAUGGUUGUCGUCAGCUCGUGUCGUGAGAUGUUGGGUUAAGUCCCGCAACGAGCGCAACCCUUGAUCUUAGUUGCCAGCAUUCAGUUGGGCACUCUAAGGUGACUGCCGGUGACAAACCGGAGGAAGGUGGGGAUGACGUCAAGUCAUCAUGCCCCUUAUGACCUGGGCUACACACGUGCUACAAUGGAUGGUACAAAGAGCUGCGAACCCGCGAGGGUAAGCCAAUCUCAUAAAGCCAUUCUCAGUUCGGAUUGUAGG